rnacentral:tRNA from 1 species
GGUCGGGUGCCAGAGUGGUCCAAUGGGGCGGAUUGCAAAUCCGUUUAUCGUGGGUUCGAAUCCCACCCCGACCU